CACGUAGGGACCAAGCGUUGUCCGGAUUCAUUGGGCGUAAAGAGCUCGUAGGCGGCUUGGCAAGUCGGGUGUGAAACCUCCAGGCUCAACCUGGAGACGCCACUCGAUACUGCUAUGGCUAGAGUCCGGUAGGGGACCACGGAAUUCCUGGUGUAGCGGUGAAAUGCGCAGAUAUCAGGAGGAACACCGGUGGCGAAGGCGGUGGUCUGGGCCGGCACUGACGCUGAGGAGCGAAAGCGUGGGUAGCAAACAGG
rnacentral:rRNA from 1 species